GCCUCCGGCAGAGCGCAGAGGCAGCGAGGGCGUGCGGCGCGGUCCUGGGCUUGGGGGAAGGCGGCCACCAGGGCUGGCCUCCGCGGCUCCGCGCCUCUCCCCCGGCCUCUCUUGCCCCGCGGCGUCCAGCCUGCGCCGCCAGGGCCCCGCGGACCUGCCAACCCGAGGCCAAGAGUGGAAUUGCCCUGCCGCUUUCCCGGGCUUGGCGGAGGGGAUCCCGGCGGAGAGCUCGGCGCUCACGAUGGCGAUGCGCAGCGAGGAAAGGCGAGGAGCUGCGUGCGGGCUGGGUGCCCUCGGAGCGCCGGGAGGCGGGGAGCGCCCGCCGCCGGGCCGGGGGAUGCUGCCGCUUGGGAACCCCCGCGGCGAAGUCUCUCCAUCUCCGCGGGGCUCCAGCACAGAGGUCGGGGCUGCAGGCCCUUUGGCCUUGGAUGGAAAGUGGGAAAUGGGGCGCGAGGCUGCGGACCCCCUAACGUGGAUUACUUGGUGCGUGUCAGCCGGGCUCAGAAGACCCACGACCUCGUCUCCAUCCUCGGAUUGAUUCAUUCCACCUGGCAGUCGGGUCGCUUUACCUAGAGGUGAAACCAGAGGUUUGAGGCUGGCCUGCAUAGGUGCUCCGAACCAAGAAAGAAGGGCAAGACACAAAGGUCAAAUCCUGCUCCAAGAAAAUGGAAUAUUUCUGCACCAUGAGAACAUCGCUCUGGGUUUUUUUCCUUAGGUGAUCACCACCGCCUGAAGGGCGUGCCAUCACCGUCAUUGCCACCGCCACAGGCACCAUCAACACCACCACCAUCAGCAUCACCAGCAACAUCAUCACCACGACCAUCAGCAUCACCAUCAUCGAUACGGCCACUGUCCCCACCGUCUUCCACACUGCAGUUACCCAUUCACCAAUCCACCAUGACAACCACCACCCCUGCUGCCACUGCCACUCCCCCUCCUUACUAUCACCAGAGCCACUGCCAAGUAACUCUUCAAAACCCCAAAACGAGGGACUGUCACUCUUAGCCGAAAUGACGCAUUCCAGACUGGUGGAGCCUACGGUUGCAUUAUGCCAGGCGAUGGGACCAAGUAAGUACAUUCUAGAGGAAUCCCCAAACUACUGGGCAACAGCAGAAGGUGAUGGAAAGCUUCCAUGUCUGGAGCCCAAAGACUCGUGUUCUUGCUGUGGCUCCGCCUUUUACCAACCGUGACCUUGAGCAAUCCCCAAAGUCUGACACAUAAAAUGGGGAAAAUCAAUAUCCAUGGCCUUACAGAUUUUAAAGGAGAAAACCCACGUUAAACGCUUUUCACGUGACUUAACCUACCAAGGUGCUAAAAAUCCUUCCUCUUGUCCAUCCCUCCAUCUUCUUCCACCCUUUGUUCUUCCGAUUCUUCCUUUUCCUAUUAUUCCCAGAUUCGAGACCCGCAUCCAUCCCCAAACCGCAGACUCAGGCAGAGAACCAUGACUAUAGGAUAAUAAGACGCGUUCCGACCCGUGAGCCUCAUAUCUGCCCCCACCCUCCCAUGUGCAUAGCACACUCUUCUUUUUCUCAAGAGGACCGAAACGAAUCCCAGUCCUUGGGCACCCGGCACGUGGAAGAUGGGUGAGGACCACGGCGGAAGAGUGGAGGGGGAGGUCCGGUCCCUGCAGAGAAGGGGGUCAGGCUCUGUGCAAGGGCUAAUUAAAAGGUUAGGCCCCGUUUCUCGUGUCCUCCAGGAGAGCUCGUAGGGCGAGCGGGGGGAAGGCCGAGGCUUCCUGAAACAGUCUGCCAACUCUGAAUUGCAGCUGCUUGCUGGAGAUCGGCUCCAGAGAGCUGUUUGCUUUGGCCAGAUGCGCUACACGGAAACAGUAGUAGGACAAUGUUGGGGGAGUGGCAGGGACCGGGGCAGAGGGGGCCCUGCGCAUUUUCAACAGGGAGGAGAGUUUUCUUUCCAGGUGCUGUCGGGCCUCGGGCUGCCUCGAGGAGCCAGUUGUGACUUGGGUUCGAGAGGCCGGCCUGCGGGGACAUCCAAGACGCUGGGGCUGAGCGUGGCGGGAGGAACAGCUGUGCCUGUUCGUGCACAAGUGGGCAGCGUGCCGAACGCAAGUUAAGCAAGGGUCCACGGAGAGCCACACUUUGGCUUUUUUCUUUUCUUCUUCUUCUUCUCCUUUUUUUUUUUUUCUGCCUUGUCUCCAUUUGGGCUGAGUUUUCAUGGGAUAGUGAAAAGUCUGUGGCUCGUGGACAUAUGUGACCCAGAGAGGACACAACCUGAAAGCGGAGGAGGGGGGCAUCCUGGCUGGGAGGUGGCGCUGGUGAGUGUGGCCCAGGCAACAUGAGCUUCCAGAUCUCACUCUUGCCAUUUUUCACUUUCUUUGCGGUAACACAUGAGAUCUCUUGCAGACCACGUGCCCUCACAGUGUUUGUGUUUCACACGCAUGUUCUCAUUCAACCUUUUCUCUUUAAAUAACUUUUUUAGGUUUAUUUUUGAGAGACACACAGAGAGAGCAUGAGCUGGGGAGGGGUAAAGAGAGACAG